GAUGAACGCUAGCGGCAGGCCUAAUACAUGCAAGUCGAACGAGAUUAAGAGGCUUGCUUCUUAUGAAAGUGGCGCACGGGUGCGUAACGCGUAUGCAACCUACCUUAAUCAGGGGGAUAGCCCGAAGAAAUUCAGAUUAAGACCGCAUAAAAACACAGGAUAGCAUUAUCCAAUGUUCAAAUAUUUAUAGGAUUAAGAUGGGCAUGCGUGUCAUUAGCUAGUUGGUGGGGUAACGGCCCACCAAGGCGACGAUGACUAGGGGAUCUGAGAGGAUGACCGCCCACACUGGUAGUGAGACACGGACCAGACUCCUACGGGAGACAGCAGUAAGGAAUAUUGGUCAAUGGAGGGAACUCUGAACCAGCCAUGCCGCGUGCAGGAAGACAGCCCUCUGGGUCGUAAACUGCUUUUAUUCGGGAAUAAACCUUUCUACGUGUAGGAAGCUGAAUGUACCGAAGGAAUAAGGAUCGGCUAACUCCGUGCCAGCAGCCGCGGUAA
rnacentral:rRNA from 1 species